rnacentral:rRNA from 1 species
GACGAACGCUGGCGGCGUGCCUAACACAUGCAAGUCGAACGGGGUAAUUUCUUCGGAGAUUACUUAGUGGCGAACGGGUGAGUAACGCGUGAGAAACCUGCCUUUCAGUGGGGGACAACAGUUGGAAACGACUGCUAAUACCGCAUAAUGUUAUUUGGGGGCAUCCUCGAAUAACCAAAGAUUUAUUGCUGAAAGAUGGUCUCGCGUCUGAUUAGCUAGAUGGCGGGGUAACGGCCCACCAUGGCGACGAUCAGUAGCCGGUCUGAGAGGAUGAACGGCCACAUUGGGACUGAGAUACGGCCCAG